AGCAGCCGCGGUAAUUCCAGCUCCAAUAGCGUAUAUUAAAGUUGCUAGCAGUUAAAAAGCUCGUAGUUGAAUUUCGGGACCAUCAUGUCGGUCGUGCCUCGGUACGUACUGGCAUUGUUGGUUUCUCCCUUCUGACGAACCAUGAUGUCAUUUAUUUGGUGUUGUGGGGAAUCAGGACUAGUUAACUUUGAAAAAUUAGAGUGUUUAAAGCAGGCUCACGCUUGAAUACAUUAGCAUGGAAUAAUGAAAUAGGACGUUUGAUUCUAUUUUGUUGGUUUCUAGGAUCGACGUAAUGAUUAAUAGGGAUAGUUGGGGGCAUUAGUAUUCAAUUGUCAGAGGUGAAAUUCUUGGAUUUAUGAAGACUAACUACUGCGAAAGCAUUUGCCAAGGAUGUUUUCAUUAAUACAAGAACGAAAGUUAGGGGAUCGAAGACGAUCAGAUACCGUCGUAGUCUUAACCAUAAACUAUGCCGACUAGGAUCGGAUGAUGUUAAUUUUUAAUGACUCUAA
rnacentral:rRNA from 1 species